rnacentral:rRNA from 1 species
UACGGAGGGUGCGAGCGUUGUUCGGAAUCAUUGGGCGUAAAGGGCGUGUAGGUGGUCUGUUAAGUCAUGUGUGAAAGCCCCCAGCUCAACUGGGGAAGUGCGCAUGAAACUGACAGGCUAGAGUACCGAAGAGGAAGGUGGAAUUCCUGGUGGAGCGGUGAAAUGCGCAGAUAUCAGGAGGAACACCCGUAGCGAAGGCGGCACUCUGGGCCGAUACUGACACUGAGGAGCGAAAGCGUGGGGAGCGAACAGG